AUCGAUGGGAGCUUGCUCCCUGAGAUUAGCGGCGGACGGGUGAGUAACACGUGGGCAACCUGCCUAUAAGACUGGGAUAACUUCGGGAAACCGGAGCUAAUACCGGAUACGUUCUUUUCUCGCAUGAGAGAAGAUGGAAAGACGGUUUACGCUGUCACUUAUAGAUGGGCCCGCGGCGCAUUAGCUAGUUGGUGAGGUAAUGGCUCACCAAGGCGACGAUGCGUAGCCGACCUGAGAGGGUGAUCGGCCACACUGGGACUGAGACACGGCCCAGACUCCUACGGGAGGCAGCAGUAGGGAAUCUUCCGCAAUGGACGAAAGUCUGACGGAGCAACGCCGCGUGAACGAAGAAGGCCUUCGGGUCGUAAAGUUCUGUUGUUAGGGAAGAACAAGUACCAGAGUAACUGCUGGUACCUUGACGGUACCUAACCAGAAAGCCACGGCUAACUACGUGCCAGCAGCCGCGGUAAUACGUAGGUGGCAAGCGUUGUCCGGAAUUAUUGGGCGUAAAGCGCGCGCAGGUGGUUCCUUAAGUCUGAUGUGAAAGCCCACGGCUCAACCGUGGAGGGUCAUUGGAAACUGGGGAACUUGAGUGCAGAAGAGGAAAGUGGAAUUCCAAGUGUAGCGGUGAAAUGCGUAGAGAUUUGGAGGAACACCAGUGGCGAAGGCG
rnacentral:rRNA from 2 species